CGACUCUCGGCAACGGAUAUCUCGGCUCUUGCAUCGAUGAAGAACGUAGCGAAAUGCGAUACUUGGUGUGAAUUGCAGAAUCCCGUGAACCAUCGAGUUUUUGAACGCAAGUUGCGCCCGAGACCUUUAGGUUGAGGGCACGUCUGCCUGGGCGUCACACACAG
rnacentral:rRNA from 14 species